UGCGUAGGCGGAAUAUUAAGUCAGUGGUGAAAUCCUGCGGCUCAACCGUAGAACUGCCAUUGAUACUGAUAUUCUUGAAUGUAGUUGAGGUAGGCGGAAUGUGUAAUGUAGCGGUGAAAUGCUUAGAUAUUACACAGAACACCGAUUGCGAAGGCAGCUUACUAAACUAUGAUUGACGCUGAGUCACGAAAGCGUGGGGAGCGAACAGGAUUAGAUACCCUGGUAGUCC
rnacentral:rRNA from 1 species